UAUGCCCUUGAGGGGAGUUGUCGCCCUACGGAUUAGUCCUUCCUGGGCCCACUAUUCUCCUGCAUAGUUUUCAGGAUCCAGUCCACGUAAUUCUUUACCUUUGUGUAGACCCCAUAAGUCCCACACCUUUUCCCCCAAGACACCAAGCCAGCUACAUAGAAUUUGGGGACCGUGACAUUGGGGACCUGGAAAGCAAAAGCCCCGCCGCUGUCCCCGUGACAGCUGUCAACACCUUUCUCGCCAGCACAGAUCAUGUUGUCAGUGAAAACAUAGUCCUCAGGCCUUACAGUGGGGUUCUCCUCUUUCACCUGUUUGCAGGUUUCUAAAGAGGUUACUGGUACCUUUGCCCCUCUGAGGUUGAUAACAAAGACUUUCUUUUCUGUACUGCCCCACCCUGAGAUCAGCCCCAUGUCACCCGGUGAGACGUUGUACUCUGAGGAGGUAAAGGGCAGUCAGCAGUCCUGGCUGUCUUUAUCUGACAAAUACAGGUGCUUGCUUUGGUAGUGAGGGACCACCCAGGGCUCAGUGUUACCUUCAGGAGCUGAUGGGAACAAGUGGGCCAGCCUCCUCUCCUGC
rnacentral:lncRNA from 1 species